rnacentral:rRNA from 1 species
UAAGUAAGCUUUGAUCCAGAGAUUUCCGAAUGGGGAAACCCAGCAUGAGUUAUGUCAUGUUAUCGAUAUGUGAAUACAUAGCAUAUCAGAAGGCACACCCGGAGAACUGAAACAUCUUAGUACCCGGAGGAAGAGAAAGAAAAUUCGAUUCCCUUAGUAGCGGCGAGCGAAACGGGAAGAGCCCAAACCAACAAGCUUGCUUGUUGGGGUUGUAGGACACUCUAUACGGAGUUACAAAGGACGACAUUAGACGAAUCAUCUGGAAAGAUGAAUCAAAGAAGGUAAUAAUCCUGUAGUCGAAAAUGUUGUCUCUCUUGAGUGGAUCCUGAGUACGACGGAGCACGUGAAAUUCCGUCGGAAUCUGGGAGGACCAUCUCCUAAGGCUAAAUACUCUCUAGUGACCGAUAGUGAACCAGUACCGUGAGGGAAAG